rnacentral:rRNA from 1 species
AGAGUUUGAUCCUGGCUCAGGACGAACGCUGGCGGCGCGCCUAACACAUGCAAGUCGAACGAGAGAGAGGAAGCUUGCUUCCUCAAUCGAGUGGCGAACGGGUGAGUAACGCGUGAGGAACCUGCCUCAAAGAGGGGGACAACAGUUGGAAACGACUGCUAAUACCGCAUAAGCCCACAGGUCGGCAUCGACCAGAGGGAAAAGGAGCAAUCCGCUUUGAGAUGGCCUCGCGUCCGAUUAGCUAGUUGGUGAGGUAAUGGCCCACCAAGGCAACGAUCGGUAGCCGGACUGAGAGGUUGAACGGCCACAUUGGGACUGAGACACGGCCCAGAAUCCUACGGGAGGGA